UUGACCUCGGAUCAGGUAGGAUUACCCGCUGAACUUAAGCAUAUCAAUAAGCGGAGGAAAAGAAACCAACAGGGAUUGCCCCAGUAACGGCGAGUGAAGCGGCAACAGCUCAAAUUUGAAAUCUGGCCUUCGGGUCCGAGUUGUAAUUUGGAGAGGAUGCUUUUGGCGCGGCGCCGUCCGAGUUCCUUGGAACAGGACGCCAUAGAGGGUGAGAGCCCCGUACGGGCGGCCGCCUAGCCUUUGUAAAGCUCCUUCGACGAGUCGAGUAGUUUGGGAAUGCUGCUCAAAAUGGGAGGUAAAUUUCUUCUAAAGCUAAAUACCGGCCAGAGACCGAUAGCGCACAAGUAGAGUGAUCGAAAGAUGAAAAGCACUUUGAAAAGAGGGUUAAACAGUACGUGAAAUUGUUGAAAGGGAAGCGCCUGUGACCAGACUUGCGACCCGUGGAUCAUCCGGUGUUCUUCACCGGUGCACUCCGCGGGCUGCAGGCCAGCAUCGGUUUUUCUAGGGGGAUAAAGGUCGCAGGAACGUAGCUCUUUCGGGAGUGUUAUAGCCUGUGGCGUCAUGCCUCUGGGGAGACCGAGGACCGCGCUUCGGCAAGGAUGC
rnacentral:rRNA from 1 species